rnacentral:rRNA from 1 species
GGACGAACGCUGGCGGCGUGCUUAACACAUGCAAGUCGAGCGGUAAGGCCCUUUCGGGGGUACACGAGCGGCGAACGGGUGAGUAACACGUGGGUGACCUGCCCUCAGCUCUGGGAUAAGCCCGGGAAACCGGGUCUAAUACUGGAUAUGACUCCAUGACGCAUGUUGUGGGGUGGAAAGCCUUGUGCGGCUGAGGAUGGGCCCGCGGCCUAUCAGCUUGUUGGUGGGGUGAUGGCCUACCAAGGCGACGACGGGUAGCCGGCCUGAGAGGGCGACCGGCCACACUGCGACUGAGACACGGCCCAGACUCCUACGGGAGGCAGCAGUGGGGAAUCUUGCGCAAUGGGCGAAAGCCUGACGCAGCGACGCCGCGUGAGGGAUGACGGCCU